rnacentral:rRNA from 1 species
AGAGUUUGAUCCUGGCUCAGAUUGAACGCUGGCGGCAGGCCUAACACAUGCAAGUCGAACGGUAACAGGAAACAGCUUGCUGUUUCGCUGACGAGUGGCGGACGGGUGAGUAAUGUCUGGGAAACUGCCUGAUGGAGGGGGAUAACUACUGGAAACGGUAGCUAAUACCGCAUAACGUCGCAAGACCAAAGAGGGGGACCCUCGGGCCUCUUGCCAUCGGAUGUGCCCAGAUGGGAUUAGCUUGUUGGUGGGGUAACGGCUCACCAAGGCGACGAUCCCUAGCUGGUCUGAGAGGAUGACCAGCCACACUGGAACUGAGACACGGUCCAGACUCCUACGGGAGGCAGCAGUGGGGAAUAUUGCACAAUGGGCGCAAGCCUGAUGCAGCCAUGCCGCGUGUAUGAAGAAGGCCUUCGGGUUGUAAAGUACUUUCAGCGGGGAGGAAGGGAGUAAAGUUAAUACCUUUGCUCAUUGACGUUACCCGCAGAAGAAGCACCGGCUAACUCCGUGCCAGCAGCCGCGGUAAUACGGAGGGUGCAAGCGUUAAUCGGAAUUACUGGGCGUAAAGCGCACGCAGGCGGUUUGUUAAGUCAGAUGUGAAAUCCCCGGGCUCAACCUGGGAACUGCAUCUGAUACUGGCAAGCUUGAGUCUCGUAGAGGGGGGUAGAAUUCCAGGUGUAGCGGUGAAAUGCGUAGAGAUCUGGAGGAAUACCGGUGGCGAAGGCGGCCCCCUGGACGAAGACUGACGCUCAGGUGCGAAAGCGUGGGGAGCAAACAGGAUUAGAUACCCUGGUAGUCCACGCCGUAAACGAUGUCGACUUGGAGGUUGUGCCCUUGAGGCGUGGCUUCCGGAGCUAACGCGUUAAGUCGACCGCCUGGGGAGUACGGCCGCAAGGUUAAAACUCAAAUGAAUUGACGGGGGCCCGCACAAGCGGUGGAGCAUGUGGUUUAAUUCGAUGCAACGCGAAGAACCUUACCUGGUCUUGACAUCCACGGAAGUUUUCAGAGAUGAGAAUGUGCCUUCGGGAACCGUGAGACAGGUGCUGCAUGGCUGUCGUCAGCUCGUGUUGUGAAAUGUUGGGUUAAGUCCCGUAACGAGCGCAACCC